AGCACUGCGGAGCCAAUCACACAAGAACAGGAUAUGGAGCAGGAAACAGGAAGUGCCAGUCCACAGGGACAUCGCAGGUACCAUAACUGUCCCCUGUGUGUCCCCAAAACCCACACAGGACCCCCCUGUGUGUGUCCCAGCUCUGCUUGUCCAAAACCCACCCCAGGACCCCUCUGUGUGUGUCCCAGAUCUGCCUUUCCAAAACCCACCCCAGGACCCCUCUGUGUGUGUCCCAGAUCUGCCUGUCCAAAACCCACCCCAGGACCCCUCUGUGUGUGUCCCAGAUCUGCCUGUCCAAAACCCAACCCAGGACCCCUCUGUGUGUGUCCCAGAUCUGCCUGUCCAAAACCUCCUCUGUGUGUAGUGCAGUAGAGUGGAAAGUGUCUGUAUCUGUCUGUGUUGGUCAAUGCUGAUCUUGACUGGUUUGUACUAGUACUUGAUGGUGAGAUAUCUGUGAGGGGCUGGUGCUGGGUUGGAUGGCAGGUAUACACUAUCCUGCUCUAUCUCAUGUAUUCUCUAUUCUCUUCCUCCUCUCCUCUAUUCAUCAAAAUAGACCUGUGAUUUAUGGUGACUGCUGCAAAGGCUUCUGGUGAACAGUCUGGCCCGCUCCAAGUACUGCUGACACCCAAUCAGGAGGGGGAAGAGGUCCGGCCAGCCUACCAGGAUGCAACCCUGGGCCCUGGUCAGCCCCCUCUCCACUCAUCCCUCCCACGCCCUCCCACCAACAACCCCCCAGCACAGGUUGAGGAGGGUGAGAAGGGGGAGCGGGUGAGGAGGGGUGAGGAAGGACAGGGGAUGAGCCUGGAGGAGUUGUUACAGGUUGGGGGUGUGAGACCUGUUGGCAGACACCUGGCCAUCUCUCUCCCCUCUCUACCUCUCAGACUCUGGGAUAUAUCUCACACACACACUCCCCCCUCACACACACACUCUUACUCUGACCCCCAACACACACACCCUCCACCCUCACAUACAAACCCUGAGCACCCACACACACACUCUGCUCCUCCCGCAGUCAGCCCCACCCCUCACCCUCCACUGCCUCUCCACAUUGGCCCGAUCAAGGUUCCGCCUCCAACACCGUCACACGUCAUUGGUCCUCCUGGAGCGUGGACCGCCCAGAUGCCGUGGUUACGCCAUAUGACACCCCUCCAGACCGCCGCCUCCCCUUUAGGCCACACCUCCCCUACCGAAACUACAACUCCCAGCCUGCCCCUGGGCAGCAUGACCCCUGUGACCCUGAGGAGGCAGAGUUUUCAGAGCUGGACUUCCUAUACCGGGCCAGCCUCCAGCCAGGAUGUAGAAGUAGUAGCCCGGUCAGGAGGCUGCAGUGUGGGGUAG
rnacentral:lncRNA from 1 species